CGAAAUCCGCUAAGGAGUGUGUAACAACUCACCCGCCGAAUCAACUAGCCCCGAAAAUGGAUGGCGCUUAAGCGCGCGACCUAUACCCGGCCGUCGGGGCAAGAGCCAGGC
rnacentral:ncRNA from 1 species